AUGAUUGGAAACAUCAGACCUAGCUAUGUUGCAGAGAUGCUGCUCUGGGUAAGAAGACAUCUAGUGAAUGCCGAAGCCAUAAGGCAGACAUUCUGCUGGCUGCAGGGCACUUGCAGGAAGGAGCGCAUAUUUCAUCAUUGGAAUUCUUGAGAAGAACAAAUGUCAUGGAAUAAAACAGAGAUGGGGCCCAGAUAAGCAUAGAGUAGGUCCAGGCUGGAAGUGAUACAAUUCUGAAGUUAUAAGGUAUGGAAUUUCAAAGUACAUUAAAGAUAGGAAGAUAUCAUAUUUUAUCAUAGUAGUACCAAAGAUAUGUAUGUAUGUAAAUAACUCAAGCUUUGGCAUUACUAUUUCUUUUCACAUGCAUUUCAUUUAAUAUGCACUAAAAUAUAUUGAAGGCAUCCUUGAUGAGUAUAUUAGCAAGAAACAAGAAACUUAUUCCGAUAUUGUUUUCAUCAAAUCAUUGACUAAAAGAUAGAGAGAACAGUAGGUGCCAUUUUGCCAUUUUUUGAAUAUCUAUUUAAAAAAGCAUUUGAAAAAAUGGAAAAUUAGUCACUUUCUUCAGAACUUUUUCAUUGUUCAAUUCAGAAAAAGAAUUAUGCAUCAAAAUAAAGUAUAAUGUUUAAAUUCACAUUACAAAAAUGACAGAACAUCAAUAAGAUAAAAUCCUCAUCAAUUAAUAUCAUGAUCAUAAUUAUUAUCACCAUCAAUGAAAAUUUAUCAAGUGCUUUCUAUACUGAGGUCACUGUGCUAAGUGGUAGGGAUAUAAAGAAGUAAAAAUUUAACAAGUUCAAAGUCCAGGGAGGGAAGCAACUAUGUACAAUAAAUAUUUAUGUGUAUGUGUAUGUAUAUAUGUAUAUAUAUAUGAAAGAGAGACAGACAGAGAGAGACCCACAGAGAAAACUGUACAAAUGGGUAAGAAUCUCAAAAAAAGAAGAUAAUAAUAUUAAUGUGACCCAGGAAAGACUUUUUUCAGGUACUGAAACUUUAACUUAGGCGUGAGGGAUGCC
rnacentral:lncRNA from 1 species